rnacentral:rRNA from 1 species
AGAGUUUGAUCCUGGCUCAGAACGAACGCUGGCGGCGCGUCUUAAGCAUGCAAGUCGAACGGUAAGGGAGAGCUUGCUCUCCCCUAGAGUGGCGGACUGGUGAGUAACGCGUGGGUGACCUGCCCUGAAGAUGGGGAUAGCUAGUAGAAAUAUUAGAUAAUACCGAAUGUGCUCAUUUACAUAAAGGUAAAUGAGGAAAGGAGCUACGGCUCCGCUUUAGGAUGGGCCCGCGUCCCAUUAGCUAGUUGGUGAGGUAAAGGCUCACCAAGGCGACGAUGGGUAGCCGGCCUGAGAGGGUGAACGGACACAUUGGGACUGAGAUACGGCCCAAACUCCUACGGGAGGCAGCAGCUAAGAAUCUUCCGCAAUGGACGAAAGUCUGACGGAGCGACGCCGUGUGAAUGAAGAAGGCCGAAAGGUUGUAAAAUUCUUUUGCAGAUGAAGAAUAAACAUAGGAGGGAAUGCCUGUGAGAUGACGGUAAUCAUGCGAAUAAGCCCCGGCUAAUUACGUGCCAGCAGCCGCGGUAACACGUAAGGUGCGAGCGUUGUUCGGAAUUAUUGGGCGUAAAGGGUAUGUAGGCGGUUAGGUAAGCCUGGUGUGAAAUCUACGAGCUCAACUCGUAAACUGCAUUGGGUACUGCUUGACUUGAAUCACGGAGGGGAAACCGGAAUUCCAAGUGUAGGGGUGGAAUCUGUAGAUAUUUGGAAGAACACCGGUGGCGAAGGCGGGUUUCUGGCCGAUGAUUGACGCUGAUAUACGAAGGUGCGGGGAGCAAACAGGAUUAGAUACCCUGGUAGUCCGCACAGUAAACGAUGUACACUAGGUGUCGGGGCAAGAGCUUCGGUGCCGACGCAAACGCAUUAAGUGUACCGCCUGGGAAGUAUGCCCGCAAGGGUGAAACUCAAAGGAAUUGACGGGGGCCCGCACAAGCGGUGGAGCAUGU